UGUAGGGGCGCGCGCUCUCCUCAGUGGGGAGACCCUGCUCCCGCUGUUGUUAGCCAAGUCGCCUUGGCCAAAGCGCGGUGGCCGAAGCGAGGGACCGGGGUGGGACUUACAGGGACAGAAGGCGGAGCUUCGAACAGCAUCUGGCCCCCGGGGUCCAGAGUGGCCCUGCCGCCCUCACCUGCAGCUGAGCUGGGAGCCGACGCGUCACCCCAGCGGAAGCGCCGCGCUGCCCGGGUGUCUGGCGAGGUGCGCGCUCCAGGUGCCAGCUCCAGCCCUCCCGGCAGUCGCCGGCCUCUUUCCGCUGAGCAGGGCGGGAACAGGGCGGCCAUCUACCGACAUCUGCGAUUCGAGCCACCGAGGUGCCGAAGACCACAGCUCAGCUCGGAAGGAGCCCUAGAACCACCGCACGGAGGGUCGGGCAGUCCCAGAGGGAGGCUGCAAGCGCCACCGCCAACUCGACAGCGAGUCCCAGGUCAGUGCGAGGCGCUGUCCCCGCCGGCUGCACUUGGGAAACUUUGGCUGGCAGUGGCGGCUGCCGAGAGGGGAAGAGCUGGGGCGCAGCCCGGGACCCGGCAGCCGCACGGCCUCGGUGCGCCCAGCCAGGUGCGACGCGGGCCCCUGAAGCCCGCACCUCCGGCGCAUCCUGACACUGCACUGCCCCAAGUUGGGUGCGAGACCCAGGGCCAGCCGAGGGCCGCCGGGCCGCAGAGGCCUCCCGAGAGACUCUGCCUCGCCACCCCGGGGCGCGCUCCACGUGAGCUCACCCUCGUCGCGCCUCCCGCUGUCCCCGCUGGUUUUCGAUUCCAGUUUUGGGGCCGCUGGGGCUUGGACCCCGGGGGAUGCGGAUUCCGCCUCCUAUUCAGCCUCGCCGAGAGGCGGGAACGGGCGAGGGCUGCCCGGCAUCUGGGUGUCGAGGAGGAUGCGAGGCGGGGGCCUGGCUGGCACAGGUCGGCGCAGCAGCGGGAGCGGCGCGCGCUGGGCCGCAGGAGCGCGCGGGUCGGAGGGUCUGACUUGGGCGCCUCCGCAGGUGCCUCGGCCGCUGGGCAGCAGGAGGUGCCGGGUGGGUGCAGGGGGCGGGCUGGUUACUGCGGAGCCGUUUGCAACCUCUGUCUCGGGAAGCAGGAGCCGCACAGGGGCGGGCAGCCGGUCCCCACGCCUCCCAGGUGCGCACAGCUUUGGCACCGGGAUGCGGGACCCCCUUAG
rnacentral:lncRNA from 1 species